AGUGAACGCUGGCGGUAGGCCUAACACAUGCAAGUCGAACGGCAGCACAGUAAGAGCUUGCUCUUACGGGUGGCGAGUGGCGGACGGGUGAGUAAUACAUCGGAAUCUACUUUUUCGUGGGGGAUAACGUAGGGAAACUUACGCUAAUACCGCAUACGACCUACGGGUGAAAGCAGGGGAUCUUCGGACCUUGCGCGAUUGAAUGAGCCGAUGUCGGAUUAGCUAGUUGGCGGGGUAAAGGCCCACCAAGGCGACGAUCCGUAGCUGGUCUGAGAGGAUGAUCAGCCACACUGGAACUGAGAAACGGUCCAGACUCCUACGGGAGGCAGCAGUGGGGAAUAUUGGACAAUGGGCGCAAGCCUGAUCCAGCCAUACCGAGUGGGUGAAGAAGGCCUUCGGGUUGUAAAGCCCUUUUGUUGGGAAAGAAAAGCAGCAGGUUAAUACCCCGCUGUUCUGACGGUACCCAAAGAAUAAGCACCGGCUAACUUCGUG
rnacentral:rRNA from 1 species